AUCCAGCUGACCAGUCCCAAAUAGGACGAAACGUGCAUCCUGGAU
rnacentral:hammerhead_ribozyme from 1 species